UUUGUCGCAGACACAGCAGCAAGGAUGUCGAGGGUGGCACCUAAUUAGUUUUGUCAUGCCAAUCGCAUUAAUGACCUAAUCAGUAGUGGGCAUUGAUGAAGGUAGGGCCACUGGCCACGAGUUGUUGCAGACAGUGUACGUUCCUUAUGUCAUUUUCAUUGUUCCAUCCGAUAUUGGUGAGCUGCUCCAUCGUCUCACAUUAAUUAUUACUUGCUAUGCAGUUUUCCACUGUUUUGCGGUGGAUAUGGAUACCCGGCGGAGUAUGUGCUCUGUCCGUCCUAAAAAACAAUCCAGCCCUAGCUUCUCGAGAGCUCAAACAAUUCUAGGUUUCACUAAGUUUUUACAGAACUACUAACAUUUAAAUCUCUAAAUAAAUUUAAUACAAAAUAUGUAACAUGAUUAAUCUAGUGGCCCUUAUUUUCUAGCAUAAAUGGUUCCAUUGAGAUUGGCGUCAGCACCUACCAUUUGUCCUUGUUGUGUGCCGGUGCGAAGUGACAUAACAGUUUGCAGUUGGCACCAUCAAUAUUUAAUUUGGACUACCCCACCGUAUCACAACUUAAAGUUCUCCCCACCAAUAUUUUUUUAGGAUAUCUAUCCUUGCUGUCUGCUCCUCCGUCCCAAAACAAGUGUAGUUUUGGGAGUUGGGCAUGAGAAAACCAGUCUCAGUGGGAGUUUUAUAGACACAGUUAGAUGGACUGAAAAUUAGCUAACUGUGUCAGUUGGAUUUCAUGGUGAUGAAUUUUUUUCGCAUGCCAUAAAACUCCAGCCUCCUCUCUACUUGCCAUGCCAGCAAAAUUGAUGAUAUUUAAUAUCAUGAAACUCUCCAUGAAACUCCAUUGAGACUGGCCUAAGGAGAGGUAAAAAAGUAGAGAGUGCACAUGAAACAAGCGGAGGUAGAGGAGGAGAGGUAAAAAAGUAGAGGGUGAACAUGAAACAAGAAGAGGUAGAGGAGGGGAGGUAAAAAGGUAGAGUGUGCGAGAACUAUUUUGGGACAAAUUUUGAAUCAUAAAAUUACACUUAUUUUGGAACGAAAGGAAUACCUUAUAGCUGUAUCCAAGCGUGUGCCUGCCUAUUUAUGGAACAAAGUUCUGGACAUGCACCUCCAGCAUGGUCUCCUUCCAAGCCGGGCAUAGAGCAGCGCAAGGUAAUUCGAGUUCUCAAGGAUCUCGUCAUUAAUUAUUAUUGUUCCGUGUGCUCGCAUAGCCAAGGAACUCAUCAUUAAUUGUUAUUGGUGCACAUGCUCACAUAGCCACCGUGUUGUAGGCCAGCAUAGGUGCGGCUGCAUCCCCCACUCAAAUAUUCUAUGCACUUUUUAGCACUCACCCCUUAGCUUUCUUGCUUUGCUACACUUUCUUCCCACUAAAAGCUCUGAAUGCCCAUGUCAGAAGUAUUGCAACAAAUUAGGGAUGAAAAUUAUCAAGUUUUUUCCAGUGACUAAACGGUAGUAACAGCCCAAAUCUGAGGGAACGUUCCCCUGUACGUUCUAUUUGCAAAACAAAAUAUGCUUCCACUGAUUUACGUUAUAUGCCAACUUGUCAUAGAAGUAAUAUGGACAAGGGAAAGGGCAUCAUGGAGGAACCAGAGUUCAAGAGUUCGCACGAUGAUGGCUCUGUGGCGCAGGGUCAGGUUGUAGUUAACAUCUCACGCAAAGGCAUCCUCAGACAGAUCACUAGUCAGAUGGGGGCGACCAUUCGUACUGAAGGGGUGUAUAAGUUAGAUAAGAGUGAUAAAAAGGUAGCCUGGCUCACGGUUGAGAUCCCCCCAGAGGCGCCGAAGGCGUGGUAGAGGUUGAAGGUUUCCAAGGAAUCCCUUGCAUUACGGAGUAUGAAGCUCUAGAAAAUGUUUCUGAAAUGGCAAUUUCUCAUAUCUUAUCAAAGAUGAAUGUUACCAUUAA